rnacentral:rRNA from 1 species
UACGAAGGGGGCUAGCGUUGCUCGGAAUCACUGGGCGUAAAGCGCACGUAGGCGGACUCUUAAGUCGAUGGUGAAAUCCUGGAGCUCAACUCCAGAACUGCCUUCGAUACUGAGAGUCUUGAGUCCGGGAGAGGUGAGUGGAACUGCGAGUGUAGAGGUGAAAUUCGUAGAUAUUCGCAAGAACACCAGUGGCGAAGGCGGCUCACUGGCCCGGUACUGACGCUGAGGUGCGAAAGCGUGGGGAGCGAACAGG